rnacentral:rRNA from 1 species
UACGUAGGAGGCGAGCGUUGUCCGGAAUUACUGGGCGUAAAGAGCGCGUAGGCGGCACGGUACGACCUGUGUGAAAGCCCCCGGCUCAACUGGGGAGGGUGGUCGCGAGACGGCAGGGCUUGAGGCUCGGUGAGGGGCGUGGAAUUCCGGGUGGAGCGGUGAAAUGCGUAGAGAUCCGGAGGAACACCGACGGCGUAGGCAGCGCCCUAGACGAGACCUGACGCUCAGGCACGAAAGCGCGGGGAGCGAACAGG